rnacentral:rRNA from 1 species
GGGGAAUAUUGCACAAUGGAGGAAACUCUGAUGCAGCGACGCCGCGUGAGUGAAGAAGGUCUUCGGAUCGUAAAACUCUGUCCUUGGUGAAGAAAAGGACGGUAGCCAAGGAGGAAGCCCCGGCUAACUACGUGCCAGCAGCCGCGGUAAUACGUAGGGGGCGAGCGUUGUCCGGAUUUACUGGGCGUAAAGGGUGAGUAGGCGGUUAUAUAUGUCAGGUGUAAAAAGCUAUGGCUUAACCAUAGUAAGCACUUGAAACUGUAUGACUUGAGUGCAGGAGAGGUAAGCGGAAUUCCUAGUGUAGCGGUGAAAUGCGUAGAUAUUAGGAGGAACACCGGUGGCGAAGGCGGCUUACUGGACUGUAACUGACGCUGAGUCACGAAAGCGUGGGUAGCAAAC